AUUGAACGCUGGCGGCAUGCCUAACACAUGCAAGUCGAACGCGAAAGGGCUUUGGCCCGAGUAGAGUGGCGGACGGGUGAGUAACGCAUGGGAAUCUACCUCGCCGUGGGGGAUAACCCGGGGAAACUCGGGCUAAUACCGCAUACGACCUACGGGUGAAAGGGGGCUUCGGCUCUCGUGGCGAGAUGAGCUCAUGUCCGAUUAGCUGGUUGGCGGGGUAAAGGCCCACCAAGGCGACGAUCGGUAGCUGGUCUGAGAGGAUGAUCAGCCACACUGGGACUGAGACACGGCCCAGACUCCUACGGGAGGCUG
rnacentral:rRNA from 1 species